CAGCCCAGCUGCAAUGGCAUAAUCCUGAAACCCCACUUCCAUAGGGAUUGGCAGCUGCGAGUGGACACUUGGUUCAAGCAGCCAGCAUCCAAAGUCUGCAGACACAAGGCCCCCACAGGUGAAAGCGCACCGCACUGGCCCUUGUCCUGCAUCUGGGCCCACCAGGCCCAUCAUGAGGUGCUCUACAGUUAGAUACCACACCUAGGUCCAGGCUGGCAGGGGGUUCAACCCAGAGAAACUCAGGGUGGCUGGGAUCCACAUGAAAAAUGACUCGUACCAUUGGCAUCUCUGUGAAUCCAUGGAGGCAAAACAAAUCCACUGAAUCACUACAUGCCAGUGUACAGCUCCUGAAGGAGUACCACUCCAAGCUCUUACUUUUCCCCAGGAAGCCUUCUGCUCCAAUGACGGGAGACAGUUCUGCUGAAGAAUUUAAAUUGGCCACCUAGCUAACAGGACCUGUGAUGCCCAUCCAGAAUGUGUACAAAAAGGAAAAGGCCAGAGUCAUCACUGAAGAAGAGAAGCACAUUAAAGCUUUUGCCAGUCUUCACAUGGCCCAUGCCAAUGCUCGUUCUUUGUCAUCUGAGCAAAUAUGGCAAAGGAAGCUGCAAAGCAGGAUAUUGAAAAGAAA
rnacentral:lncRNA from 1 species